rnacentral:rRNA from 1 species
GUGAUCCGGGUUGCGGACAGUGUCUGGUGGGUAGUUUGACUGGGGCGGUCUCCUCCUAAAGAGUAACGGAGGAGCACGAAGGUUGGCUAAUCCUGGUCGGACAUCAGGAGGUUAGUGCAAUGGCAUAAGCCAGCUUGACUGCGAGCGUGACGGCGCGAGCAGGUGCGAAAGCAGGUCAUAGUGAUCCGGUGGUUCUGAAUGGAAGGGCCAUCGCUCAACGGAUAAAAGGUACUCCGGGGAUAACAGGCUGAUACCGCCCAAGAGUUCAUAUCGACGGCGGUGUUUGGCACCUCGAUGUCGGCUCAUCACAUCCUGGGGCUGAAGUAGGUCCCAAGGGUAUGGCUGUUCGCCAUUUAAAGUGGUACGCGAGCUGGGUUUAGAACGUCGUGAGACAGUUCGGUCCCUA